UUUGGUUUGAUUGGAUGGCUGGCUCCUUCUAGCAUUCCAGUAAUCAAUGGCAAGAGUUUGAGUGGGCUUUUCUUUGAUAGCAUUGGCACUGAACUCUCUCAUUUCCCCACUGGACCUGCUCUCACUUCUCAGUUCUGGUAUAUUUACUCUCAACACAUUUUAUUUCUGCCAUUUAUUAAUUGAGUUUCCCAAAAGUAUAUAUAGUUUAAAUUAUAUAUAUUGAUGCAUGGUAUACAAUAGCUUAUAUACAUAGUAGGUUAGUUACGCAGUAUUAUAAUUAUAAGGUUAUGAGUGGAGUACUAUUUAUCAUAGAGAUUUAUCUAUAGUUAUCUUGUCAGUUACCUAAUUAACUGUUUAUAUAUCUGUCUAUACUAUAUUAAAAGCAUGAACUCCCUAACUUAAAAGCUAAAUUACCUAAAUACUCUUCUAAAUAAUUUAAUUAUUAUUUUUAGUUAAAAAAAGAAAAAAAAUGCCAUGCAAAACACCCCAAACCGAAUGGAUGUGCCCUUUGAUAUUUAUUAACUGGUGCAAUAUUAAUCCUUUGAUAUUUACUUUUAUACCCCUCUUAUCUUAAAGACCUAUUUUUACUAUAACCAAAAAAAUAAAAAAUAAAAAAAGAAACUCCUACGAAGAGUCCUAAGCCAAAGUCACCAAACGUCACGAAGAGUCCAAGCGAACCUUCACCAAACGAUACAUUCCCUUCUUUGUAUUUUCCUGUUCAUUUGUUUAUUAAUCUUAUGUUAAAUAAAGACACUCCUUUAUAUCCUUCCACAAAGUCAAAAUGAUAUUAAACUUUAAAUUUUCAUUUCUCUUGAAUCAAGCAAUUUGUCUUCUUAAAAAUCUAAUUAUCCUAUUUAAUAAUAUAAAAAAAAUUUAAUGCACCAACGUUUCAUACACCUGUUUGAAAUUGCUAACGUCUACAAACAGCCCAAGUGUCACCUAUUUUUCAUAUGGUGCAUGCUUGGGUUUCUCUGUUCAUGUCUCUAUUACGAGGGAAAGAUUGUCAUUAAACUUUUUGGUAUGUUCGUCACUAUCUUUCUGCCAAAGAGAUUCUCAAAAUGAAAUUUAAAGAUAAAGUAUUUCUUAUUUAAGGUGCGUUCAUUCUUUGAAUUAUUGUUUCUGCAAUUCUUUCUGACUCAAAAUAAUGGAUACGUUUUUAUCUGCUCAAUUUGUUUAUGCUAUUUGUAUGUAUUUUAUUUUUAUAGUCCGAAUAUUGCUCUGUGCUUUAGUUACUUAGUUUACCAUUGGCACUGUGACCAAUAUAAUAAAUUUUAGCACAUUGUUUCAAAGCCCUAUAGUUAUUGUUGAGCAUUUAAACAAAAUAUUUGAGAAUAUAAUAACAAUAGUUGAACACCUUUAUAGAUACAUUUUGAUACAUUCAUAUUAUCGUUCUAAGAGAAAUAAAUUUGUAUUGAUCAAUCCCUCUUCAGAUAAAUUAAUCUUUUCUAAUAUCAGAAUAAUGUCCAAAAAUAUUUCCUCAGGUUAUCCUUUAAUCUUUAGUUUUAAUCAUGAUGUAUGAAAUAAUACAAAGAUAUUAUUCAAUUUAACUUUAUUUAGUUAAAUCAUCUCAAGUUUUUCAUAACAAAACACUGAUAAACAAAAACAGUUUAGGAGAUCAAAUAAAAAAUGUAGCGUUCUAAUUAUAAAAUUAUAAUAGUCUUUUUGUUGUUUAGUUGACUAGGGUUCCAAAAUAGAAGAAAUAGAUUGAAAGGGUUUUUCCAUAUGUAUAAUUGAUCGCACUUUAAUAUUUUUUUUCCAAUGGUGGACAUGUGAUAGAGCAGAUUUUCUUAUUACGUAAGAAAAAAGGGUUUACCAAUUUACUUAUUGAAGAGAUUUGACUUGGAUUUCAGAUUAAAAAUUUUUAUAUAGCUAAUUUUCAUAGGUAAAGUUCCUAAAAUUAUUGGAUUUUUUAAGAACGGAGAAAUUAGGUAGUAACUUGUGUAUUUAAUUUUAUCAUGAGUGUGAUAGGGUGGUAAGGAUUAUCUUCCUUAAUCAAAGAUUUUGAGUUCGAGCUCGAGAAUAAAAACUAUAUGGGCAGAAAACAAUUUAAUUGGAGGAGUGCAAUUAAAUGGUUUUAGCUUAUAAAAGUUUCUUUUAAGUCCUGACAAAGUAAAUGAUUUUCUUUCUCUUUUUUUUUUAAUUCUAGGAUUGGAUUAUAAGACCGCAUAAGGUCCUCAUUUUAUAUUUCACUAUGUCUAAAUUUGAUGACAUGACAUUCUUUGAUUUCCUUUUUCUUUCUUUCUGUUUUUUUGUUGAGUAAUUAGAUUUCUCAUUAGCUUGGAAUAUUUAUCUUAUAGGAGAAAUAUGCAUUUCAGAAAACAUGCUAAGACUCUGAGGUCAUUCUCUUUAAGUUCAAAACUGAUUUCUCUUUAAAGCAAACUGAACAUUGCUUUUUAAUAUUGUUGAUGUUAUGGCACUUAAAUUUACAAUGUUGAACGUCAGAAGCAAGUAGAGCUAGAAGAUUUCUAUGAGACUAAUCACAAAUAGUAAAGUCAAAGUAAUAAAUUAGGGAGAAAGUGAUAACAAUAUCAGGUUCUACUCUUUAAAUCUUUAACUGUUUAUGAACUUUUGUGCUUUAUGAUUUUUCUAAAACUUGAUUUCAUAAAUAAUGUUAGGGUAGAUCUCUUAUGUGAAUUGUGAUGAGCUUCUACACGUAAGCGAGAGUUUUUGUUAAAUCCCUAAAUUCCUGGACAUGGUGAUAAUUUGAAAAAAAAUAAUAUUAUUUCGCACGAGCCUUCUUUGUCUCAAUGUUUCUUGCGCGUCUGAAAUCUUCCUUCUUUUUUUAGAUAUCAAACAAUCAUAUAUGGAGUAUAAUUUAGUGGAUUAAAGAAAAGAAGCAGAUAGAAGUGAAAAAUAUGGGGACUAUAAUUGGUGCAAAGAGAGGAAUUAUAGUAAGAUAUAUGGUAAAGGAAUUAUAGUUUAAUCUUUCUUUUAUUCUCCAAAGAAGGAUAGUUACAUGGUUGUUAAAGUAAAAUUUUGUAUUUCCUUUUGGUGUUUUUAUUUCUUGCUCCAUUUGGUACUGACUCGGACUUUGUCAAUUACCAAAUCUAUCUUUCAUAUAUUAAGUUGGAAAAUUAGAAAUUCUUUUAGGGUAAUUCAAUUCCCUAGAAGAAAGAGCACUUCUAUCUGAAAAUGUAGCUCUAUGGUUUCUUUUGUAACUGAAAUCAUAGUUUCAUUCACUCUGAGCAUACUUACUAUAGGUAGGAAUGACGUUAAAUAGUUUCAAGUUUAAUGAUUUUAAAAUAAACUAUGAUUAAUUGACAGCCGUGGCUUGAUCAAAUUUCACUAAAAAUAGUUUUAGUAUAUUGGACUGCAUUUGAUUUGUACUUUUAUUUGUAUGUGUUGUUUACAUUCACAUAAAAUACUUCUAUUUGAGGAUAUUAGAUACAUCAUAAAAGGUAACAAGCUGAGUAGCUUUACUUGGUAUACACAUGCAACGCACGUGCAAUAAAAUUAGUAUAUAUAUAUAUACUUCUUAGGUUGUCGAUAGAACUUAAACUCUUUAGAAAAUCAAUUUUCGAUUUAGAACUACUGUGUUCUUAAAGCACCUCAAAACUAAGUUGUUUUUGUAAUACUCUUACUUAAAAGUUUUUCUAGACAAGUUUGCAUAUUUUUGAAGAAAAUCGAGGAAGAUAUAUAGUAAAAGUUCAUUUUAUAGUUCAAGAAAUUUGUUGCAAUUUUAAAUUGGAUAUAUAUGUGUGUGUUGUGGACAGGCUAUGGUUGGUGUGCUGGCACUUGGGCUUGUUCAUCUGCCUAACUUUUGGACAAAUUGGAUUCAAGGGACGGACUGAGGACUAUUUCUCAAAGUAGAAUAUUCCCUUCUGAAAAUUUGUGUAUAAAAAAGAAAUACGCUAUUUCAGUUCCUUAGUAUUGGUAUUUUCCCUUCAUUUCAGCAUGUUAUGAGCGUGAAAUACCUUCUACUUUGCAAGUUUUUUCCAUUUAUGCGGUUAUUGGUCCAACUAUAACAUAUGAUAUUGUGUUAUUAAACUGCAUCGGUUUUCCGCGUGUACAACUUAUAUUCCUUUUUUAAAAAAAAUAAAAAAUUGUUAGCUUAAGUCAACAUUCCUAUUGA
rnacentral:lncRNA from 1 species